GCAAAGUUUGGUAUAAUUAUAAAUUAAUAGAUAGACUACUAGUAGUAGGAGUAAGCUAAGAUUAUUUGUCAAGGAUCAAAACUAAGUGCCUCCUCUGACUCUCCUUGGACAUCCCUGGAAAGCUAGAAGGCAACCUGUUCCCACCAGGAAGCCUGAUCUUUCUCCCAACUGGAGCACAACAAUGAAGCACACAAAAAUUGCAAACAGCUGAUUGUUAAGAGGACUCAAUGCUAAUUGCUGCCUGUCAGAAGAAAUGGGUGUCUGGUUGGCAGGGUUACCCUGUGACGUCCCCUCAAAUGAAGAAUAUAAUCUCCAUGGAGCAAAACAAAAGCCAGUGAACUUCCUGCCAAGAACCAGACAAGGAGAAAUGGUUUCUGGGCCUUCCUCUUUGGGACAUAAGCCAGGAGAGUGAGUUACACAGAUCUCAUAACAAGAACAAAGAAAAGGCAAAGCUGGAACUGAAGAAUGAAGACUGGUAGACGGUGAAGUUUACCCUCCAGUGGUUCUGAUACAUGCAAAGCUCUGGCUUGGAAGAAAAAUAGAAUUCUCACCUAGUGAAUAGAAAUGUCAUGGUAAGAGGAGAUUGGGGAGAGGGUUCCAGACAUACUAGUAAUGAGUCUUUAACAAGGAGACCUUUGUAAAUUGUGCCUCACCACAGACUAAUCUGAGAUGAUGUUUGAGGAAAAAAUAUUGAUUACACACAUAGGUAUGCAGAAAAGAGCUUAGUUUCUAAAGAAAACCUACCAGCUUCUUUCUGACUACAACAUGAUGUAAAUACCAUACUGCAUCUCUAGAGGAUAUGUUCAGCCAAUGCCCAAUAUGGCACUAAGAGAAUCUAAUUUAUUAUUGUUGCUAUUUCUAUUAGAGUAAUUCCACUGGGAAUUAAAAAAAAAAAAAAAAAACAACAAAAAAACCUGCAAAUUGAAGGAUUUUUUUCUGCUUUUCUCUUGUUAAAGCUUAGUGCAAGUCACAACUCCAGAGAAACCAUCUGGGAUUUUAGACAUAUUGACUUGUCAGUCCUUCUGCAUGAGAAAUUGAAGUUCUGGUACAAAUAGUUUUUCUCCAUUUCCUAUCUGGAUAACUUAUCAUUAUGCAUGAAUUCUGAGCAUUAAUUUUUUAUUUGUUUAUUAUGAUACCAGGUAUCUCACAUGAGGCAAAGGACUAUAUACAGAACAUUGGAGAGCAGUGCAAAAUUUAGAGGUUUUAAAUCCAUGAGAAUAAGUUAUUACCUUUUCUUUGAUGGUUAAGGUGCUAAAUAAAUGCUAAAUAAAAACAGAACA
rnacentral:lncRNA from 1 species